CCCUUCGGAAGCGAGUCAUCCAGCUGAGGCGCAAGUCAUCUGCAUGUAUGGCUGUACAGAAAAUCUGCUAACUUUUCCUUGAGUUAUCAGCUAGCAGUAGGUAGCUAGCUUGUUUGGCAGAAUGCUGAACAAGACAUUUUUGGGCGACCAAAUGUUCCAAUUAACUUCGAUGAAGUGAAGACACUCUUAUUAAAAGCUAAUU